ACAAUGAAGAGUUUGAUCCUGGCUCAGGAUGAACGCUAGCGGCAGGCUUAACACGUGCAAGUCGAGGGGUAACAGGGAUUGCUUGCAAUCCGCUGACGACCGGCGCACGGGUGCGUAACGCGUAUAGAACCUACCUUUUACAGAGGGAUAGCCUUUAGAAAUGAAGAUUAAUACCUCAUAGU
rnacentral:rRNA from 1 species